UACGUAGGGACCAAGCGUUGUUCGGAUUUACUGGGCGUAAAGGGCGCGUAGGCGGCAAUUCAAGUCAUCUGUGAAAUCUCCGGGCUUAACUCGGAACGGUCAGAUGAUACAGCUUUGCUAGAGUGCGGAAGGGGCAAUCGGAAUUCUUGGUGUAGCGGUGAAAUGCGUAGAUAUCAAGAGGAACACCUGAGGUGAAGACGGGUUGCUGGGCCGACACUGACGCUGAUAGCGCGAAAGCCAGGGGAGCAAACGGG
rnacentral:rRNA from 1 species